UUGAUGUUAAGGAGAUAAAUGACCAUAAGUGGCCGAGUGGAGAGAGAGAGAUUUCACUUCCUUUAGUGGGAUGGGUUUGAUACUUGGGAAUAACAUAUCUUCAUAUUUUUUAUGCUUACUAUUUUAUUUAAAUCUUUUAUAACUCCUUACUAUUUAUUUACUUUUAUAUUUUUAUUUGAUUAAUUUAAUUUAAUUGUUAAUUAGUUGUUUAGAUUUUUUAAAUGUUUAGUUUUUUUUUUAUAGAUUUUCUUAAUUAUUGACUUUCUUUUUGAUAAGGGAUUUU
rnacentral:lncRNA from 1 species